AAGGCGACAAUAGGAAGAGUAAAAGCAAAAAUAAACUAAGAUAAGGGUAGAGUGCAGAGUUCUUUAAUAAUGCCAUAGGUACUGGUUGAUCCUUCUUCCCUUGAGAAAGCUGGAGUACCAGUGUGCAGAGAACCUAGCAUAUCUCUUCAAAUCCGG